AUGGAGAAAGCUGUACGACAUGCUCUUUACUGGCCUGAUGGCACAAGGAAGAAGCUUUCAAAGUCAUCAGUAGAUCCGGAAAGGAUUAAUCAUACACGCCUAUUGGUUCAAGCUCUACUGGACAAAUAUAAUGAAGACCACAAUCUUUUGGGGAACCUUGCGUAUGAACUCAAAGAUAUUAUGUGCAUCCGAUCAAUUUGUGAGGGCAGACCCCAUAACUGUCACUGCCGUGGUUGUACGUAUAACAAAAGGGUAAACCUGAAGCACCCUAAUGAUGCUGAUGAAUUCUCUGGUGGUCACUUAGAUCCAUAUUUGCCGUAUGGCGGUGACACUACUAUACAAUAUAGCGGCUCUGAUGAGAAUUUGGACGCCGAGGAGGAGGAAGCUAGGCUGCAAGCUAAAGAGGAGUCUAAUGCCUAG
rnacentral:rRNA from 1 species